UAAAAUCUUCAGGGCAGGGUGCAAUUCCCUACCGGUGGUAAAGCCCACGAGCCGUAAGGCAUGAUUCGGUGAAACUCCGAAGCCGACAGUACAGUCUGGAUGAAAGAAGAUAAUG
rnacentral:ncRNA from 2 species